UUUUGGCUUGAUCUGGUUUUUUUUUCGUAUCUUCUUCUUUUGCAUUAUCAUUUCUCUUCUUCUCAGUGAAUCCCUCAAUGUGGUAGUAGUUUGCCCUGAAGUGAUCUUAAUAGUUGCAAUUUUUACAAAAUAUAUCAGUUGAAAUUUACACAAAAAAAACAUUUUACCUGAUCUGUUGUAUUUUUGUGUCAGUCGUUGAAGUGGAUUGAUUUUUACCGCUAUUUAGGGCAAUUAAAAUACACUGAUCACUAGGACUGCAGAUUUGAGAUCGAGUUCAAGGUCGAAGAGCAAGUUGGACGGAGCUCAUUGG
rnacentral:lncRNA from 1 species